rnacentral:rRNA from 1 species
GCGCACCAGGCGCGAAACCUCCGCAAUGCGGGAAACCGCGACGGGGGGACCCCGAGUGCCGUGGCAACGCCACGGCUUUUCCGGAGUGUAAAAAGCUCCGGGAAUAAGGGCUGGGCAAGGCCGGUGGCAGCCGCCGCGGUAAUACCGGCGGCCCGAGUGGUGGCCGCUAUUAUUGGGCCUAAAGCGUCCGUAGCCGGGCCCGUAAGUCCCUGGCGAAAUCCCACGGCUCAACCGUGGGGCUUGCUGGGGAUACUGCGGGUCUUGGGACCGGGAGAGGCGGGGGGUACCCCUGGGGUAGGGGUGAAAUCCUAUAAUCCCAGGGGGACCGCCAGUGGCGAAGGCGCCCCGCUGGAACGGGUCCGACGGUGAGGGACGAAGGCCAGGGGAGCAAACCGGAUUAGAUACCGUGUAGU